rnacentral:misc_RNA from 1 species
AAGUCGUAACAAGGUUUCCGUAGGUGAACCUGCGGAAGGAUCAUUAACACGUUCUUACGUAUUCACACCUGUGGAUCCGUCUGAUAAGUCUUUGUGAAGAAUGAUGUGCUAGACGAGACAAUGUGAUAGUGGGAAUUGCUUUCAGACUUGAUUGGUAGCGUGGGUUAUUUCGGUAACCCUUUAGCCUGCCUUGAUCACGUAGUCAGUUACUUUGAUCAGACUUGAAUAGCAACUCCCGUCUCGGAUAGCCUGCUGUCUCUUUCCGUCGUAAAAGAGAUGACGCGUUCUUUAUAAUGACUCUAAUUACUAUCAUGUUUCACUCUGAGUAACCCAAUUGUCUGAACAGAACAGCUGGUCGAAAGACCUUUUGUUAUUUACGGAAACGUAAUAUUACAACUGUUAGCAAUGGAUAUCUCGGCUCUC